UCUCAAGGGCUCCGGCAAAAAACAGGCCAGGAAGGGUCAGUCAGGGUAUGUGAGGCCAACUUCCUUCCAGGGGGGAAAGUAUAGGAGGAUGCUGAGGAAUGAUCCGGGGCUGGGGGUCCUGGGACCCAGGGCCAAGCCCUGCCCCUGUGGGACUCUUUGUUGACCUGCCGUAAGUCCCCUGCCCUCACUCAGCCUGUGUUUUCCCAUCUGGCUGUGAAAAGGACCUCAAGACCAUUUGGGGGGGUCCUCACAUCCUAUGAAGAUGGCCGGGCGGCGCCUGAGGUGGGCCCUCUCCCUCCUCCUGGCUCCUGGGUUGUCUCCCAGCUCAAAUGAGGCUUUAUGGGAGCCAAGCUGAACUCUCACAACAAGAUCUCCUUCGAACCACGUGGCCCCCCAGGUCCUGGCAGGACAAGAAAGGCCAGGAAGUUGCACACCAGGCCCAGGAGGGAGGCAGCAGGCAGACCCGGGCCCAGAGGAGGCUCCGGAGGGAUGUAGAGCCUUUAAAUCUUAUCCCAAACUUCUAAGCAUCGCCAAAAGGCCCUGUCGUGGCAAAUCCCCAUGGGACACCCCCACCACCAGUGCAGGGAUGUGGCGCCAAGCUGAGGCCCUAGAGACCGAGCGGUCUGGCCGGAGGCCUGGCUUGGCCUCGCACCGGCUCUGUGACUUUGGGCAACUCACCUCUCCCCUCUGAGAACCUGGAACUCACAGGCCCAUCCCAUAGGUGUGUUGCAAGGAUCAAAUGGAAUCACAAAGGCAGCGCACUUGGCAAAGGCCGAGUACUAUUCCAUGACUGCACCUAGCACAUUGCAUUUACCCAUUUACCUGUUGAUGGGCACUUGGGUUGUUUCCAGCUUUCGGCCACUACGAACCACGCUGCUGUGAACGUGGACGUGCAGCUCUCUGUUCCAGUCCCUGCUUUCCAUUCUCUCGGGUGUGUCCUCAGAAGUGGGAGCACCAGGUUAUAUGAGGGAGAGAGAGAGAGAGCACGAGCAGGGAAAAGGCAGAGAGAGAAGGAGACAGAGG